CAGCCCUAAACGAUGCGCGUUAGGUGUAUCGGUGACCACGAGUUACCGAGGUGCCGAAGGGAAACCGUGAAACGUGCCGCCUGGGAAGUACGGUCGCAAGGCUGAAACUUAAAGGAAUUGGCGGGGGAGCACCACAACAGGUCGGAGCCUGCGGUUUAAUUGGACUCAACGCCGGGAAGCUCACCGGGAUAGGACAGCAGAAUGAUUGCCGGGCUGAAGACCCUGCAUGACUAGCUGAGAGGGAGGUGCGAUGGCGUAGACCGUCU
rnacentral:rRNA from 1 species